GACGAACGCUGGCGGCGUGCUUAAUACAUGCAAGUCGAACGAACGGCUGUGGACGCUUUCUUCUAUCAAUCUUGGUGGCGGACGGGUGAGUAACGCGUAAACAACCUGCCCUUCAGAGGGGAACAACAGUAGGAAACGACUGCUACUACCUCACACGUUCCCACACCGGCGUCGAGGCUGGAAGAAAGGUGGUCUCUAUCUAUAACCUAUCACUGCAGGAGGCGUUUGCGGCUGGUUAGGUAAGUGGGGGGGUAACGGCCCACCAAGGAAAUGAUCAGUAGCCGGUCUGGGGGGAUGAACGGCCACAAUGGGACUGGGACAAGGCCCAGACCUCUACGGGAAGCAGCAGUGGGGAAACCUCCGGAAUGGACGGAAGGCUGGCGGGGGCACGCCGGGUGAGGGAUGACGGCCUUCGGGUUGGAAAGAUCCGUUAAUCGGGGAGAAAGGUCUUCCUGCGAAAAGUUAGAAGAAUUGACGGUACCGGAAUAGAAAGCCACGGCUAACUACGUG
rnacentral:rRNA from 1 species